GUCUCCCCGGCCAACAUGAGACCCCAGCAGCCGGGCAGGCGCGCAAAGAGCCCCGUGCCAGGAGAGCUCAAUCUGCGCUGGCCAAGCAAGGCAGGAGCCACUGCCUGCACGGUGAGAGAGCUGCCUGCAAGCAUCCAAAAGCAUGUUCUGCUCCCUGCACUGCUGAGACCUCACAUGGUCAGGGAACUCAUGCUCGGAGCCAGGGCUGGGAUGCUCAGGGCUCGGUAUCACCUCUAGGACAGCCUCCUUCUCCCAUCCUGCUUGUGCCUCCAUAAAACAGGAUUUGCUUCUUCCACCCUGAGCUGACACGUUUCAGGGAGCAAAGGCUGUCUCCUCCUGUGCAUCCAGAUGGCCUCGCCCCCAGGAUCCCUGUCCCCACUGAGAGGCAGGCUGUCACUGCAGCACACAGCACCAGCCAGCCCCGGCCUUCCCGACAGCCUCAGAGCGGCACCGAGAGAGCUUUUGGGGCAGAAGCGACAGCACCUCGCAGGGAGGUUUUGCUAUUGCCAUGCCCUGAGCAGAGAUGGAUUUCACGGAGCCCCAUUUCACAUCUGUCCUCACACGCCGCGGCGUCAGGAGCGCAGGAAUAGACGUGAGACAAAAUUCCAGCUUCAUCUCGAAAUAAUUCUGGGUGCAGUUUUACUGCCUGCCUCUCAGCUGUCCCCUCGCUCCUGCCUGUCUCAUUUCUCCCUCUGCCAAGGGCUGGGAUGGACACUGCCAGGGUGUGACUCUUUCUCUGGGGAUACAGGAAAAAAAUGAUGGGGGCCAGAGGGAGCUGAGCAGGGGGAGGAUGAUGCCCAGGAGGGUCCCCCAAAUUGGUGACACUGGCAAAAAGGAGCUCUCUCUCCUCUCUGCUGCACAUCUUGGCAUUAUUACACGGCUUCUUGGCUUUAUGGCAUGAGGACCAGGCAACUGCAGGUCCAUCCUGUGCCUGCAUGAGGUGGAUGCCAUCAGCCCAGGGCUCGGCUUCCUCCCCUGCAGGACCCAGCCUGGGGCUCCGCAUUCCUGCUGGGAGCACAGGAGCUUUGCUGCUUCAGCCUCCUGCAGGUCCCGAUGGCCUAGAGGGAAACAGGAAUUGCAAACACUAAAGAGGCUCCCUCUGCCUAAGCCCCUGCUUUAUAUUCAAGCUGUCCUGACAGGCGUUUGUCAGGAACAGAGGAUACAGUGUUCUCCAUCUGCAGCGCAUCUCCGUAUGGCAGCGCUGGCAAAAUCAACCACUUCUACUCAGGGCUGUGAAAUUCAGCCUGGGAGGUCUGUCUAGCCUUCCUGACCCCCAGUUUCCCAGCUAAAAUAAGUUUUUGUUGUUGGGAGAAGAGCCAGACUCCUUCCUGGCGCUGCUGGAGCCUGUGGGACAGCGUUCUCCCAUCUCCCCCACGCCUGCAAUGCAUCCCCCUUCACUGUGAGCCCAGGAAAGGGGCAGAAUAUGGGGGAAAAAAACCUAUUUCUCGGCCUGACUUCAUCCAGGAGAUGAGUGUAGAACAGCACUUACCCACUUUUCCUUCCCAGCCUGAAACCUGACCUGUCCUCAUAGCCUGUAAUAACAUCUCUGAGUUAAUUCACUGGAGCUGGAGUCACUUGUGUGCCCAAACAGGGCUGAAAUUCUUUCCCUUGGUGCAGAGCCUGGUCAGAGGGGCAGGUGAGAGCCCUGGGGGCAAUGGGGCAGUAGCUCAGCCCCACCGAGAACAGCCCUGGCUGAAAACCUCCUAAACUCCCACCAGCAGAGCAAAAAACAGGGGGGAACUCUGUGAAACACAAUUAA
ensembl:lncRNA